GCUUUCCUGUGGCUCAGUUGGUAGAGCAUUGUGCUAACAACAAUGCAAAGGUUGUGUGUUCAAAUCCCAGGCAAAGCA
rnacentral:tRNA from 1 species